AAAAUCUGAGAUGCUAAAACAGAAGGUUUCAAUCUCUGUUCUCCCACUAAUGAAUUUCUAUGUCCUUGGAAAAACCUUUCGCCUCUAUAUGACUUAUUUUUCCAUAAGGUUAAAAUUAGUGUCUUUUAUUUGUGGCGCAUAAAUGAGUACUUUGCACAUGUGUGAUUUCACUGCUCCUGGGUUGACUUCUUUAUUCGUUUAAUUUUAGGUAAAGAAACAGAGAGGAUCGACACCACAGCGCUGAAGCUUGCCUGAUGGUGCCAGGUCUUGAACCCAGGCUGCACACAUGGCCAGGCACCUGCCCUACCAGGUGGUCCGGGAGGUGGCACAGUGGAUAAACCAUUAGACUCUCAAGCAUGAAAUCCUGAAUUCAGUCUCCAGCAGCACAUGUACCAUAAUGAAGUCUGGUUCUCUCUCUCUCUCUAUCUUUCUCAUGAAUAAAUAAAUAAAUAAAUAAAUACACAUUUCCCAGAUUUACUGAAUUUUACUUUGAGUAGUGCGUGCUUGAAUUUCUACUCCUGAGUGCUUUUCUUAUUUCACCACUGUUCUUUUUUUGGCAGCUGACUGAUUCCAGGCUGCAUGGUGGAAGAGUUCACAUCUCUUUCUUGUCGUUUGUAAGAGAAAUACAGUGGUGUGCAGAAAGUCGUUGUGACUGCAACUUGAAUCUUACCUCCUCCACUUAGCUAGAACUGCGGCCUCCAGGACGUGAGGCUGUCAUCUACAGGGACCCGGCGCACAUUUUAUUCCUCUCAGCCAGCCCUACUUUCUGCCUUCUUUUCUUCUAUAAGGAUGUAAAUCACAUUUUUUUUUCAUCAGUAUGUUUGCAAAUGGUAUUUGGCUUUUGAGUGAUUAUGUGUAUCUGGUAGGGGUUUUCUCUAUUCCUCCUCCUGGGUAGGGUAUAUACCUAUCCAAAUUAACAGAAAAUUGUGGUGACUUUAUAAAGAGUAGCUGUCCACAGGACAGGAGACCUGGUGUGGAAGGUCUGAUUGUUGAUCAGUUAAUACAAACAGAAGGCAGACUAUACUUGACUAUACUGCCCCCCCUUUAUUUUUCAUCACUCCCGGAGAGCUGCAUGAGGAUGAAAACACGGAAGGAAUGACAU